AACGAACGCUGGCGGCAUGCCUAACACAUGCAAGUCGAACGAGACCUUCGGGUCUAGUGGCGCACGUGUGCGUAACGCGUGGGAACCUGCCCUUAGGUUCGGAAUAACUCCCCGAAAGGGGUGCUAAUACCGGAUAAUGUCUUCGGACCAAAGAUUUAUCGCCUUGGGAUGGGCCCGCGUUGGAUUAGCUAGUUGGUAGGGUAAAAGCCUACCAAGGCGACGAUCCAUAGCUGGUCUGAGAGGAUGAUCAGCCACACUGGGACUGAGACACGGCCCAGACUCCUACGGGAAGCAGCAGUGGGGAAUAUUGGACAAUGGGCGAAAGCCUGAUCCAGCAAUGCCGCGUGAGUGAUGAAGGCCUUAGGGUUGUAAAGCUCUUUUACCCGGGAUGAUAAUGACAGUACCGGGAGAAUAAGCGCCGGCUAACUCCGUG
rnacentral:rRNA from 1 species